UACGGGGGGGGGCAAGCGUUGUUCGGAAUUACUGGGCGUAAAGGGCUCGUAGGCGGCCAACUAAGUCGGAUGUGAAAUCCCCAGGCUUAACCUGGGAACUGCAUCCGAUACUGGAUGGCUUGAAUUCGGGAGAGGGAUGCAGAAUUCCAGGUGUAGCGGUGAAAUGCGUAGAUAUCAGGAGGAACACCGGUGGCGAAGGCGGGUCUCUGGGCCGAUACUGACGCUGGAGGAGCGAAAGCGUCGGGGAGCGAACAGG
rnacentral:rRNA from 1 species